ensembl:lncRNA
GGCCAUGACUGUACUAUUUAAGCUAGACAUCCUAUGAGUCAAAAGACUUAAUUUUGUUAAUAUAUUUACUCACAUGUUAACACAUAAACAAUGUUCAAGUGUCGUUUGUUAGAGAGUGCGAUGAAACUAAGGUCUGUAGUAAUUGACAACAUGCUAUACAUAAAAAAAAGGUCCUAACCAGAUCUAUGAGGUGCAGGAUCUUGGACCAAUGUUGAUUCACUAUGGGCAGAGCUACCCAGUGUGACACCAUGGAAACAGAAGCCAAACACCUGGCAAAAUGUCCUGUCGGCAGUGUUUGUGUCACAGGUCAUUUCCACUGUGACAGGGAAUAUCAGCACGUUUGAAAGUAUUCAAGUCCUCAUCACAAUAUCAGAGAGAACAUGUGGACACUCCACCAAAACCCUCCUGCAUUUUUGAUGACUCAACUUUCUGUCCUCUUCCAGAGAUGAAGUGACUCAUAAGGAGAGAAAUGGCGACCAACAACAAUUCGGCCUCAUUAAGACAACAUGUCUAAUAUUCAGCCCUCCGUAUAUUCAUCAGAUUGGACAGACUGCAUCAACUCGGCUCAUUUCUGCAUUUUUAAUUGUUGUUUUUUACCCAGAGCUCAUCCUUGGGGAGGCAGUCCAGUCUCUCUAAAAGGUUAGUGGUCCCUGAUGCAAGCGGAACACUGGAUUUCACAUAAUGUCAUGUCUUUGUUAGCAUUUUCACUGUUAAUAAUGUAGUCACCUGACAUCAGCCCGCCACACCAGAGGCAUGGUAAUGUGAGAGAAAUGCGAUCUCCCUUCCAAAAAACAAUUACUGUUGAAGAGUAUCGUUUUUUUCCCUCCAAAUGGAUGUUUUAGCCUUCAUUCAGAGAUUCAUCAGUAAUCAAGGGUUAAUUUCACACUCCACUGAAUGGCC